rnacentral:pre_miRNA from 1 species
AUAUUGGAUUGGCCUAAAAGUUCAUUCAUUUUUUCCGUAAGAUGUUAUGGAAAAAUCUGAAUGAACUUUUGGGCCAACCCAAUACA